rnacentral:rRNA from 1 species
UACAGAGGGGGCAAGCGUUGUUCGGAAUUACUGGGCGUAAAGGGCUCGUAGGCGGCCAACUAAGUCAUACGUGAAAUCCCUCAGCUUAACUGGGGAACUGCGUGUGAUACUGGAUGGCUUGGAUUUGGGAGAGGGAUGCGGAAUUCCAGGUGUAGCGGUGAAAUGCGUAGAUAUCUGGAGGAACACCGGUGGCGAAGGCGGCAUCCUGGACCAAUAUUGACGCUGAGGAGCGAAAGCUAGGGGAGCAAAC